GGGUCUGCCAUUAGCUCCACUCUUGAGGCUGUAGAUUCCCUCGGCCCUGGAUACAGAGGGAGACCCACAACCCCCUUUGGGACCACAUUGGGUGGGAAGACUCCAUUAGGCACCUAUGCUAUUCAGAUGCCUGGUGGGGAGGAGUCAGAAGAGCAUUCUAGACUAGAGAGGUGUGUGAGCUCUAGCAGCAUAGUUAUGACACUAAAGGUGACAAAGGAUGAAGGUGGAGCCUUCACACUAAGAGUAGAGCAGAAGAGGAAGCAGAAAGGAGCUCAGUGGAGGAACAGGAUGGGAGGAGUAUGUGGCAUGUGAGAACCAGCUGAAGAAGCCACUCCAAGUAAGCAGAAAUGACAGUCCUGGAACCUUAGGGUGGGGUGCACUUUCCUGCAUGCUUCUCUCAAGUCAUACCAAAUAAUACUGCAUCUGCCACUCCCAACCUAAUCAACACAACGAGUGCCACCUCAGCAUGCUUCACUUCAGACUGUAUCCAGAGACUUCAGGUGUGGAAUGACAACCCUUCAGCUUCAUUACUCAGCCACCAGGUUCCAGAUGCUAGCAUGAUGUGGACCAGAUUUCCCUGGACAGAGGACCCCACCAGUUUGUCCUGGAGCUCCACUUUCCCAGAGCCCCACUCUACUAGGGAAAGAGAGAGGGAGGCUGGGAGUAUGGAUCAACCAGUCAACGCCCAUGUUCAGCAAGGAAGCAAUUACAGAAGCCAGACCUUCCACCUUCUGCAUCCCACAAUUACCUUGGGUCCAUACUCCUAGAGGGAUAAAGAAUAGGAAAGCUAUCAGAGGAGGGGAGGGGAUACAGAGAUACGGAGAUCUG